rnacentral:rRNA from 1 species
UACGUAGGGGGCUAGCGUUGUUCGGAAUUACUGGGCGUAAAGGGCGCGUAGGCGGUGUGUCAAGUCAGGCGUGAAAGCCCCGGGCUCAACCUGGGAACCGCGCUUGAGACUGGCACGCUCGAGUUCGGGAGAGGAUGGUGGAAUUCCCAGUGUAGAGGUGAAAUUCGUAGAUAUUCGCAAGAACACCAGUGGCGAAGGCGGCUCACUGGCCCGAUACUGACGCUGAGGUGCGAAAGCGUGGGGAGCAAACAGG